UUGGGGAUUUUCCGCAAUGGGCGAAAGCCUGACGGAGCAACGCCGCGUGAGGGAUGAAGGCCUCUGGGCUGUAAACCUCUUUUAUCAAGGAAGAAGAUCUGACGGUACUUGAUGAAUAAGCCACGGCUAAUUCCGUGCCAGCAGCCGCGGUAAUACGGGAGUGGCAAGCGUUAUCCGGAAUUAUUGGGCGUAAAGCGUCCGCAGGCGGCCCUUCAAGUCUGCUGUUAAAAAGUGGAGCUUAACUCCAUCAUGGCAGUGGAAACUGUUGGGCUUGAGUGUGGUAGGGGCAGAGGGAAUUCCCGGUGUAGCGGUGAAAUGCGUAGAUAUCGGGAAGAACACCAGUGGCGAAGGCGCUCUGCUGGGCCAUAACUGACGCUCAUGGACGAAAGCCAGGGGAGCGAAAGGGAUUAGAUACCCCUGUAGUC
rnacentral:rRNA from 1 species